UGGGGAAUUGUUCACAAUGGGCGCAAGCCUGAUGACGCAACGCCGCGUGGGGGAUGAAGGUCUUCGGAUCGUAAACCCCUGUCGAAUGGGACGAAAGACUCGCGAGUGAAUACUUCGCGAGAGUGACGGUACCGUUAAAGGAAGCCACGGCUAACUCUGUGCCAGCAGCCGCGGUAAUACAGAGGUGGCAAGCGUUGUUCGGAAUUACUGGGCGUAAAGGGCGCGUAGGCGGCCCUCUAAGUCAGACGUGAAAUCCCCCGGCUUAACCUGGGAACGACGCAUGAAACUGGCAAGCUAGAGUACCAAAGAGGGUGGUGGAAUUCCUAGUGUAGAGGUGAAAUUCGUAGAUAUUAGGAAGAACACCAGUGGCGAAGGCGGCUCACUGGCCCGAUACUGACGCUGAGGUGCGAAAGCGUGGGGAGCAAACAGGAUUAGAUACCCCCGUAGUCCCUGAGCGGGCUGGCAAGGCGCAU
rnacentral:rRNA from 1 species